AAUUUGGCAAUUGAUUCUUGCUCUUUCCGUCUGAAGAAGAAGAAGAUACUGGUGCUGAUAGUGGUGACUUUGGUGAGCUGCAUCUUUGUGUCUGUGCUUUUCCAGGCUGCAUGGUAAGGAACAGUGUGGAACAAAAAGUGCUUAGAUCAUGAACUUCAGAGAAGAAAACUUCGAUAAAUAAGCAGGAAGGAAGAUUCUAAAAUGUCAAACAAACAAUUAAAACCGUAGUUAAGCGAAAUAAAAAUCAGAAGAUGUCAGAUGUUUCAUAAAGUAAACAUUAAAUUUUGAGUCAAGAACCCUCUCUGUAUUAAAUACUCUGUUAUUCAUUCAAUAUUCAUAAUGACCUGAAAAGUUUAUAUGGGCUGUAAAACAAAUUAAUUGUGAACUGAAACUACAAGAGAGUUAAAAUGACAUAGAUGAGUUCUUGGAAUUUGUUGCAGAAGAAAGAGAAGAUCAAUCUGAAAUUUUCACCUUAAAUUCGAGAUCUAUUUCUUUGGUUGCAGCCUUGGACAAACUUCCCAACAAAUCUUUUGUAAUCAAAAUAUCUGAAUUGCCAGCAUGAAUCUGAGGCUGUUCUUCAAUAUGUCCACUCAAUACCCUCACCAAUGAACUACUCACAUCUGCUGCCAUUUCUAAGCCUUCAACCAGAGUGC
rnacentral:lncRNA from 1 species